rnacentral:misc_RNA from 1 species
UAACAGCAGCAUAUAACCAGUACCUGUAAAUAAACAUGGCAUGAAAUUCAAAACAGAACUACAAAGGUGAUAGGGAACAUCGAAUUUCAUAGCAUAAUUGCUAGAAUGAACUAUGGAAUUUUUAUCAAUAGUACAACUUUGCGCAAUACAAGACAGUACAGUGUACACCACACUUUGCAUGAACAUUUUAUUUUUAAUAUAUAAUUUAAAAAGUUAUUAAAAAAUGGUAAGAAUAUGCAUAAUAAAUUAAAUACCAAUAAAUAAAAUUUUCAAUAAUUCAAUUUCAAAUACAAUUGAAAAUCAUAUUAGCAUUUGAUAAAAUAUUACAAACAAUUUCUCACUAUACAAUUUACUUGAUUAAUCAUUAAAAUAAUAUAUAUAUGCUGAAAUGAAAUGAUUGCUGAAAAAUUAAAAGACAAAAAAUCUUUAAAGAGAUUAUUAAUAAAUUAAAUGUAGAUCCUAAAAAUUGUCUAAUAGUUCAAUUUAAGAUUUAAUUGAAAUGAGGUGUUAAUCACAAAAACUUUAAAUUACUUCAUCCACUUGUCAGAAUAAGGAA